AGCAAGCAAAUGCAUGAGCAAGAUUGAGCAGUGUAACCAUAAGAGCUUUGAGGCUGAUGAUAGCUUGAUCAUGCCUCAAAUGCCUUCAUACAACAGAAAAAAUAAAGUAGGCAGAGCUGAGUUUGUUUUCUUUGAAAUAAUUCUUAAAAUUCCGAAUGUAAGAAUUGGGUGACUUUACUACUGAGGGGAGUGCGCGUAUUUAUUUAACUGACUUCCUAAUCACGGCCCCAGGAAACCUACCAAAGCUAGAAUUAAUGAUUUCUGGUGGGGAACAGAAGAACAAAUACAUAAAUUUUAUUUUUGUUAUUAUAUAUAAACUCUAUAUCCUAAUUUACUAACAGUCAUCAGGUGUCAGCCUUUGCUCUCCAUUUUGACAUUAAAAACAACGUAUCUAGACAUACCUCAAGGAUAUCAUUUUUGACUUUGUGUUACACUACACUUGUAGCCAAAACUGGAAGAUUAAAAACAACAUACAGAUCGGCUGCCCAUUGGCCUUGUUUUCCAUUUGAAGUUACUUUGGAAUCCUGUAAUUUAGUUGUAACAUAGAAAAUGUGGGGGGGAAAGGUUAAAAAAAAAAGUCAAGUAGUUGCAAAGUGUUUUGCACUGUUGAACUAAGUAAUUGUGUAAAUCUGUGCAAAAGUCCGUAUGGUUAUCUUACUCUUCCUAUAAGGUACAAUAACAUACACUUUCCGAACUUAGCAUGGGACAUAGUGUUUGAAGUGCCAACUUCAUCAAGUAAUGCAUGCUUUAUUAUAAAUACAACCCUAGCUUUGAAAGAUGUUCUUAUGUUUUGAACAGUCUGCUUCGGGGGUAAAUUUAAAAUAGUCUCUUGAAGCCCCGGUCAUGGAAGUAACUUUUGGUUUAAUUGACAUUCUCUUAUUAAAUGCCCUACCGUAGUUCAAAGGAUUACUAUCAGUGUGCAAAGCAUUUAACAGCAGCAGUCUAAGUGCAGUCUUGCUAGCUGUGCUGCCUAACAGUACCAUCUUGGAUCCUUCAGAACCAAAGACUUGCCUGCAGUGCUGUCACCGCCUGGCUGGUGACCCUUCUGCUGUCUGUAGGAAAAGCAGCCCUUUAUUUUUAACACAGGCUUUAAUGAACUACACCUGUUAAGUUCCAAAGGUCAAAAUGGAGGCACUUGCUGUCUAAGAGUCCAACAGAAAGAGGGAGCCACUGUCAAAGAAUCCCCUGCUAACAGAACAGCGGAGCAGCUGUGUGGUGGAGGGUGCUGUCUCUCGUGUAGCUGGUCAGGGACGUUUUUUGUUUUUUUCUUUUCUCCUGAACUACAUGAUUCUAAUUGGAAUGUUCAUUUGCCUCUUUUUCUUCCUUUAAUGCUUGUAGGUGGCUUGGGGUGUGCUAUUGUGCUGGUCCUACUCAGUAAACAGGUGUGAUGAGUUAACAAGAACUAACACUGCUUGAGAACUAGCUUUGAGUAAUACUUUUCCCUUUGUACACGGCCUGCUGAAUUCCGGUACAGUGUCUGUAGCUGACUUAUUUUGUCAUGCACAUGAUGUACAUUUGUUAUGCACUACUUUUGUAUACCUUGUUUUUCCAACAGUGAACAUUUUUAGGCACACUUUUCACUGACGGGAUAUCUCUUUAUGCAAUACCUCAAUUUUUCAUAUUGCAAAGAGUAGCUUUUUGUACUUUUAUUACUGAGAGAUCUUCAUAUACUUCAUUUUUUAAUAUAAAUAAUUUUAAUAAAUUUUAUUUUCUUAUAUUCUGCUUUUUAUACAUUUCAGUGCUCUGCAUACAUUUUAAAUUAUGAAUGUUGUGCACUGGCAAUGCUAUUUUAGAGUCUGCAGAGAAGAGAAAGCAUGUUGCUUAAACAUCCUUCCCCAGCACCAGCUACUGGUGUACCUAUAAUUUAAGAAAUAGUCUAUGUAAAGUCACAAAUUAAUGAAAAAAAUUCGCAUGAAAAUGACAAAAUAACACUGUAGUUCCUAAAAAAAAUUAAAUGCAUAACCAUAGGGUAGAAAUUUAAAAUAACAAAAUUGUCUACAGCUUCUUACUAAGUUUUUUAAAUUAUUCAUAAAAUGCAGACAUUUUGGGUGAAUGUUUAAUCAUUUUUAAUCUUAAUUAAUUGAUGUUACAUGUUUGAUUCAGAGAUGUCUGCUCUUUUAAAUUCUAUAUAAUAAAACAAAAUCGCCUGCCACAGGACAGGUUUGUAAUGUUAGUAUGCAUGACUAAUGUAAGAAAUUGUUAUUCUGCUAAUAUUUACUUGUGAUUGUGUGACAAGCGUGUUUACAGAUGAUUUGGUUCCACUUCUUUACAGGGCAUAAACAAUGAUUAUCUAUUACUCUGAACUUUAUGAUUACAUGUCCUUCAGAUUACAUGGGAUUGUAGCUGGGAGUUACCAUGUAACUCAAACAUUAUUAACAUGUAAUUAGUUUACAGGUUUUAGGGUAUCACUUCAAUUUACCAAGCAUGUAGUUCUAGCGCACUAGCAUGGCACCAGCCAUGUAUUUACAAUGUAGUUACAGAGUAAUUACAUGGUUAUUUUUGCAAUGUAAAAUAAAGUGUUUCUGAUUAUUUUCUAUGUAAAGGACCCCCCACCCUACCCGUGCCCCCUGGCUUUGGUAUAAUAUAUUUACUUCUCCAUACACAGACCUCUGCAGAAUGCAACAUAAAACUUGCAGUGAAUGAACUUAGCAUUUUAUGAGAGUGCUGUUGGAAAGACUUGAUAAUUCACCCCUUUUUGUUUUGAAGAGUUGAAUCUUCUGUUAAAAGGUGAUUUAAAACUUGAAUGUGAUGAAUUGUGGCAAGCUCACUCCAGUUAUGUGCAAUACUUAUCUCACACUUUGGAAGAUCUUUGCAGUGUAAUUCUUUGUUUUUAAUUGCAGACAUUAAAAAAUGUCAUUUUCUACUGUUAAGAGUAAUCCUCUUUCUUGCUGGUGUUUCUAAAGAAAAGAAUCAGAAAUCAAUCUUUCUACUAAUGUAAAUUUGAGAUUAUUUUUAAAAAUGGAAUAAAAGAGGUUUUGG
rnacentral:lncRNA from 1 species